rnacentral:lncRNA from 1 species
UUGCCAAUAGAAGCCAUUUAUAAAAUGAAGCUUAUAACAUACACUUUGGUUUUUUUAUCUCCUUUGAUGGUAAUAAUUAGGUACAACAUUAUACAAUAUCUAAAGAGAUGCUUUCUUCCUAGUCUUGACUUUUUCUUCUUACCCAUGAGCAUCUAGUUACAAAAUAAUGGCACAAUGGUUACAAAAUAUCCGGAGGUGCCUUUUUUCUAGUCCUGAGUUUUUCUUCUUGUCCUUAAGCAUCUGGGUAGCGGAUUCUUUUGGUGUUGUUGAUUGCGAGUAAAGUUUCAUAGGUAUAAUGUUGUAAUACUGUUGUAGUAUCUGUAGUUAGGAAUAGACCUGGUUUCGUGAAGGACAGUUGUCGUUUAGUUGGGAAGGUUGCUUAUUGAUUCGAUCGCUACUCCUUUUGCACAACAGGUGUUGAUGAUGGUGGGGUACUAUGUGUGUUUGGUAGUGGUUGUGUAAUGAAUGCCAUGUUAACUUGUUAACUGCUAGAACGUUUGAGCCUGGUAUUUGGGACUUGAUGUAUCAAAGCAUACUUCUAAUGUAACAUGCGUGAAACCCGGUCACAUGUUCCGCCUUCGUUUGUGCAUGUCCCACAUUUCUAAAAGAGACAUAACUCCUUCCUUUAAUGUAGAUCUCCGGCCCUCGUUGAAGUUCCAUAGCUCGGUUGUCACAUAUGCUCCACUCGGAUUGUAAUCGUUUAUUUCUGUUAACACAGUAGCCACAGCUUUAUA